rnacentral:lncRNA from 1 species
GGCAAGAUGCUACACCAAAUGCUCUGCGCCUGGCCUGAAUGAAACUCUUCAAACACUUCUUCCGGACCACUCCCGAUGUAACGAAACAAGCGUUGAAGGAAUAGAAUCCCGUCAUAAAGUUUGUGUCAACGGCGAGUGCAGAACUAUACGACACAGGUACCCAGUCGAACCAGUUGUGUAGUUUUGUGAAUAAAAUAUUUUCGUCAGAAACUUUU